rnacentral:lncRNA from 1 species
AUAGGAACAGACUAUGAAAAAUCUGGGUGAAAUUCAGUCUUCCGUUAAUCAAUACUGAUCUCCAUCACUCUUUUCACUCCAUACACACCACCCUCUGGCGUUAGGUUAGUGCUACUAAGUUUAUUUUCUUGGAUCAACAAUCACUAAUAUGUUUUUAUUUAAAGUGAGUGUGUAUGAAUUUGUUCAGUUAAUCUUUUUUUGAGUACCUGCUUUCUCUAAGACACUGAAUAUAUAGUGGUAAAGAACUCACAUGGGAGUUUUGCUGUGCUGUCACACAAGUAAAACAAUAUAUUCCCACUUAUAGAUGAGAAAUCUUCCCAGAGAAUAAGUAGUCUGCAUAUAAUCAUGUACCUUUUUUUUUCUUUUCUUUUUUGCGAUGCUGGGAAUCAUUAAACUCAGGGCCUCCCAUGUAAUAGGCAAGUGUUUUGCCACUCAGCUAUACUCCCAACCCCCCCAAUUUUUCUUUCUUUUUUGUACCAGGGAUUAAACAGAGGGGUGCUUAACCACUGAUCCACAGCCACAGCCCUUUUUAGAGACAGGGUGUCACUGAAUUGCUUAGGGCCUCACUAAGUUGCUGACGCUGGCUUUGAACCUAUGAUCUUCCUGCUUGAGCCUCCUGAGCUGCUGGUUACGGG